rnacentral:rRNA from 1 species
GCUAAAAACCUAGCCCCUCAAUACCAAAUGAACCACUUAAUCUUAUCUUAUAAACUAAAACAUUUUAUAAACAUAGUAAAGGCGAUUGAAAAAUUUGUAGGAGCAAUAAUGAUAGUACCGCAAGGGAAAGGUGAAAUAAAAAUGAAAAAAUAUCGAGCACAUAAUAGUAGAGACUAACCCUCGUACCUUUUGCAUCAUGGUUUAACUAGUCUAACCAAGCAAAAUGACUUACAGUUUGACCCCCCGAAACUAAGUGAGCUACUUCAGGGCAGCUUAUUGAGCAAACCCGUCUCUGUUGCAAAAGAGUGGGAGGACCUUCAAGUAGAGGUGAUAGACCUAACGAGCUUAGUGAUAGCUGGUUACUCAAGAAAAGGAUUUUAGUCCAGCCUAAAGUCUUUUUGAUACAAUAAAAUAAUGUAACAACUUUAGAGUAAUUCAAAUAAGGUACAGCCUAUUUGAAAAAGGAUACAACCUAAACUAAUGGGUAAAACUAAACUUUAUAACCAAGUAGGCCUAAAAGCAGCCACCUUUUAAAUAGCGUUAAAGCUUUAUUAUAAUUUGCUUUAAAUACCUCAAAACAAUUUUAACCCUUUAAUUCUAUUGGGUAAUUCUAUAUCUUUAUGGAACUUAUAAUGUUAAAACUAGUAACAAGAAGAAGACCUUCUCUUAAAUGCAAGUGUAAAUCAGUAAGGACCAACCACUGAUAAUUAACACCUAUGAAACAAUAUUAGUAACCUCCCGAGAAAACUCUAAUAAAUUCUGUGUUAACCUAACACAAGGGCAUUUCAAGAAAGAUUAAAAGAAAAAGAAGGAACUCGGCAAAUAUUAACCUCGCCUGUUUACCAAAAACAUCGCCUCUUGAAUAUUUAUAAGAGGUCCAGCCUGCCCAGUGACUCUGUUCAACGGCCGCGGUAUCCUAACCGUGCGAAGGUAGCGUAAUCACUUGUUCUUUAAAUGAGGACUAGUAUGAAUGGCACCACGAGGGUUAUACUGUCUUCUUUUUCUAAUCAGUGAAACUAAUCUCCCCGUGAAGAAGCGGGGAUAAAAAUAUAAGACGAGAAGACCCUAUGGAGCUUUAAACUUAAUAACAAAUACUAUCCUUUAUUUAACUUUCAGAAUAUAUACCUUUAUUCUAGUAUUAUGGUUAUUAGUUUUAGGUUGGGGUGACCGCGGAGCAAAAAUCAACCUCCACAUUGAACGGAACUCAUUCCUGAGCAAAAAGCCACGACUUUAAGCACCAAUAAAUUGACAUCAAUUGACCCAAUAUUUUGAUCAACGAACCAAGUUACCCUAGGGAUAACAGCGCAAUCCACUUCAAGAGCUCCUAUCGACAAGUGGGUUUACGACCUCGAUGUUGGAUCAGGGUAUCCCAGUGGUGCAGCCGCUACUAAAGGUUCGUUUGUUC